UACAGAGGUCUCAAGCGUUGUUCGGAUUCAUUGGGCGUAAAGGGUGCGUAGGUGGCGGGGCCAGUCAGGUGUGAAAUCCCGGGGCUUAACCCUGGAACUGCAUUUGAUACUGCCGUGCUUGAGGACUGGAGAGGAGACUGGAAUUUACGGUGUAGCGGUGAAAUGCGUAGAUAUCGUAAGGAAGACCAGUGGCGAAGGCGGGUCUCUGGACAGUUCCUGACGCUGAGGCACGAAGGUCAGGGGAGCAAACGGG
rnacentral:rRNA from 1 species